AUUGAACGCUGGCGGCAGGCCUAACACAUGCAAGUCGAGCGGAGCGGCGGACGGGUGAGUAAUGCCUAGGAAUCUGCCUGGUAGUGGGGGAUAACGUCCGGAAAUGGGCGCUAUUACCGCAUCCUAUCAGAUUAGCCUAGGUCGGAGUAGCUAGAUGGGGGGGUAAAGGCCUACCAAGGCGACGAACCGUAACUGGUCUGAGAGGAUGAUCAGUCACACUGGAACUGAGACACGGUCCAGACUCCUACGGGAGGCAGCAGUGGGGAAGAUUGGACAAUGGGCGAAAGCCUGAUCCAGCCAUGCCGCGUGUGUGAAGAAGGUCUUCGGAUUGUAAAGCACUUUAAGUUGGGAGGCGUUACCAACAGAAUAAGCACCGGCUAACUUCGUGCCAGCCGCCGCGGUAAUUC
rnacentral:rRNA from 1 species